GCUGGGAUUGUGGCUCAGCGGUAGAGCGCCGGCCUAGCACGGGUGGGACCUGGGUUCGAUCCUCAGCACAGCA
rnacentral:tRNA from 1 species